UAAAUAACUUUGGAAGAAUAUUGACAUAUGAUCACUUUCUUCUUAACAUCGAUCGUGGUCAUAUUAAACAAUGAUUGAUGACGUUUCUUUAACCGGAAAUGAUCACGUGACUGGCGGAAGGACACCGCGACGGAACAACGACCUAUCAAUGAGGAUCGCGGAGUGAUACACUGCCAAUAAACGAAACCACGCGACACGCGUGCGCGGAGAAGAGGAGACACUGACGACACGGCGGCACGGCCCACCAUGGUCCCGGGUUACCAGGCCACAUGGAGAGGACACGUGUCAUUUCAUCGGGAUCAUGGAAGUAGGGCUGAUCCAACUCAGUUGACGGUGGCCUCGGGCAUGGUCCAAAUUGCAGAGGAGAGUGAGCCGCGUUCUUCUUGGUCAGUUUGGGGAGAAUAUUGACACCCCCCCUUCCUGCCAAGCUGACACUGACAGUACAAGAACAAGAAGGAACAGGACUGAAUGUCCUUUCCUUCCCUGUCAAGGUGUCUACGUGCUACCAUAGCUCAGGUGUGGAUUUGAAUUCCCUGAAUUGUUCAACUCGGCAUGACAGACUCUUUUGUGCUGCUUCCUAUUGAAAGAAUACGAUGCAUGAGCAUAAAUGGCAAUAUCUCCAUAUUGUUGCUUUGAACAAGCGAUUAAGAUUGAACUGGAUUCAUGGAACCCGUGUGUGUGUGUUUGUGUGUGUGUCAUGGGAUAACCCCUGUCAGGCUUUGGCGACGUCUGAAUGCAAAGUAAUUGAGAUGAAAAGAAAAGGCCUCACCUGCAGAUAGCGUUCGAGCGGCGAGCAUUGUCCCCCCCCCCUACUCCU